rnacentral:tRNA from 1 species
GAGCCUGUAGCCUAGUUUGGAUAAGGCGUCAGCCUCCUAAGCUGGAAAUCGUGGGUUCAAAUCCCAUCAGGCUCA